rnacentral:rRNA from 1 species
AACUGUAGAGCUAAUACAUGCGUCGAGCGGUCCCGCAAGGGGCUGUGCAUUUAUUAGAUACCCGCCAACCCCCAUGCGGGCGAGGAGGAGUCAUAAUAACUGAGCGAACCGACCGCAAGGCCGGUGCAUCCAUCGAAUUUCUUCCCUAUCAGCUUGACGGUUGUGUCGUGGACCACCGUGGCGGUAACGGGUAACGGAGAAUUAGGGUUCGAUUCCGGAGAGGGAGCCUUCGAAACGGCUACCACAUCCAAGGAAGGCAGCAGGCGCGUAAAUUGCACCCUUUCAACGACAUGAAGAUGCAGUGACGAGAAAUAACGCCGCGGGGCCCACAGGGCUUCGCGAGUGGAAUGAGAACAAUUUAAAUCCCUUAUCGAAAGCAAUUGGAGGGCAAGUCUGGUGCCAGCAGCCGCGGUAAUUCCAGCUCCAAUAGCGUAUACUAACUUUGCUGCAGUUAAAAAGCUCGUAGUUGGAUUUUGGGAGGGCGCCUGUGGGGCCGGGCCGGCAAGGCCCAGGCCCUGCGGGAGAUUUUGAGGCCUAACCAGUUCUGAGACGGGUCGCCCGCAAAACGGCGAUGCGUCGCGUUACUGUGAGUAAAUCAGAGUGUUCAAAGCAGGCAGCAGCCUGAAUGGAUUAGCAUGGGAUAACAGCAUUACGACUCCGGUCUGACUGUUGGUGGGCAGGCCGUGAGGCACUGGAUUAACAGGGACAGUUGGGGGCAUUCGUAUUCCGUAGUCAGAGGUGAAAUUCUUGGAUUUACGGAAGACGAACUUAUGCGAAAGCAUUUG